UACGGAGGGUGCAAGCGUUAUCCGGAUUCACUGGGUUUAAAGGGUGCGUAGGUGGGCAGGUAAGUCAGUGGUGAAAUCUCCGGGCUUAACUCGGAAACUGCCGUUGAUACUAUCUGUCUUGAAUAUCGUGGAGGUUAGCGGAAUAUGUCAUGUAGCGGUGAAAUGCUUAGAUAUGACAUAGAACACCCAUCGCGAAGGCAGCUAACUACACGAUCAUUGACACUGAGGCACGAAAGCGUGGGGAGCAAACAGG
rnacentral:rRNA from 1 species